rnacentral:rRNA from 1 species
ACGAUCAGUAGCCGACCUGAGAGGGUGAUCGGCCACAUUGGAACUGAGACACGGUCCAAACUCCUACGGGAGGCAGCAGUGGGGAAUAUUGCACAAUGGGCGAAAGCCUGAUGCAGCAACGCCGCGGGAGUGAUGAAGGCCUUCGGGUCGUAAAACUCUGUCCUCAAGGAAGAUAAUGACGGUACUUGAGGAGGAAGCCCCGGCUAACUACGUGCCAGCAGCCGCGGUAAUACGUAGGGGGCUAGCGUUAUCCG